CCUACGGUAGGCAGCAGUGAGGAAUAUUGGUCAAUGGGCUAAGGCCUGAACCAGCCAAGUCGCGUGAGGGAAGACGGUCCUAUGGAUUGUAAACCUCUUUUGUCGGGGAGCAACGAGGCCACGUGUGGCCGAAGUGAGAGUACCCGAAGAAAAAGCAUCGGCUAACUCCGUGCCAGUAGCCGCGGUAAUACGGAGGAUGCGAGCGUUAUCCGGUUUUAUUGGGUUUAAGGGGUGCGUAGGCGGAUUUUUAAGUCAGCGGUCAAAUCGUGGGGCUCAACCCCAUCCAGCCGUUGAAACUGGGGAUCUAGAGUGUGCGAGAGGUAUGCGGAAUGCGUGGUGUAGCGGUGAAAUGCAUAGAUAUCACGCAGAACCCCGAUUGCGAAGGCAGCAUACCGGUGCACAACUGACGCUCAGGCACGAAAGCGUGGGUAUCGAACAGGAUUAGAUACCCUGGUAGUC
rnacentral:rRNA from 1 species